rnacentral:rRNA from 1 species
ACCCGCUGAAUUUAAGCAUAUCAAUAAGCGGAGGAAAAGAAACCAACCGGGAUUGCCUUAGUAACGGCGAGUGAAGCGGCAAAAGCUCAAAUUUGAAAUCUGGUACCUUCGGUGCCCGAGUUGUAAUUUGGAGAGGGCAACUUUGGGGCCGUUCCUUGUCUAUGUUCCUUGGAACAGGACGUCAUGGAGGGUGAGAAUCCCGUGUGGCGAGGAGUGCGGUUCUUUGUAAAGUGCCUUCGAAGAGUCGAGUUGUUUGGGAAUGCAGCUCUAAGUGGGUGGUAAAUUCCAUCUAAAGCUAAAUAUUGGCGAGAGACCGAUAGCGAACAAGUACAGUGAUGGAAAGAUGAAAAGAACUUUGAAAAGAGAGUGAAAAAGUACGUGAAAUUGUUGAAAGGGAAGGGCAUUUGAUCAGACAUGGUGUUUUGUGCCCUCUGCUCCUUGUGGGUAGGGGAAUCUCGCAUUUCACUGGGCCAGCAUCAGUUUUGGUGGCAGGAUAAAUCCAUAGGAAUGUAGCUUGCCUCGGUAAGUAUUAUAGCCUGUGGGAAUACUGCCAGCUGGGACUGAGGACUGCGACGUAAGUCAAGGAUGCUGGCAUAAUGGUUAUAUGCCGCCCGUCUUGAAACACGACCAAGGAGA